GAUGAACGCUGGCGGCGUGCCUAAUACAUGCAAGUCGAGCGAACAGAUGAGGAGCUUGCUCCUCUGACGUUAGCGGCGGACGGGUGAGUAACACGUGGAUAACCUACCUAUAAGACUGGGAUAACUUCGGGAAACCGGAGCUAAUACCGGAUAAUAUAUUGAACCGCAUGGUUCAAUAGUGAAAGACGGUUUUGCUGUCACUUAUAGAUGGAUCCGCGCCGCAUUAGCUAGUUGGUAAGGUAACGGCUUACCAAGGCAACGAUGCGUAGCCGACCUGAGAGGGUGAUCGGCCACACUGGAACUGAGACACGGUCCAGACUCCUACGGGAGGCAGCAGUAGGGAAUCUUCCGCAAUGGGCGAAAGCCUGACGGAGCAACGCCGCGUGAGUGAUGAAGGUCUUCGGAUCGUAAAACUGUGUUAUUAGGGAAGAACAAAUGUGUAAGUAACUGUGCACAUCUUGACGGUACCUAAUCAGAAAGCCACGGCUAACUACGUG
rnacentral:rRNA from 1 species